rnacentral:rRNA from 1 species
UCGAGAAUAUUCGACAAUGGGCGAAAGCCUGAUCGAGCGACGCCGCGUGGAGGAUGAAGUACUUCGGUAUGUAAACUCCUUUUAUAGGUAAACAAGUUAUUGAGUAACUUAUGAAUAAGAGGUUGCUAAACUCGUGCCAGCAGCAGCGGUAAUACGAGUGCCUCAAGCGUUAUCCGGAAUUAUUGGGCGUAAAGGGUGUGUAGGUGGUUUUGUUAGUCUUUUGUUAAAUUCUUCGGCUUAACCGGGGGUCUGCAAAGGAAACGGCAAGACUUAGAAGGUGCGAGGGGUCUGUGGAACUCAUAGUGUAGCGGUGAAAUGCGUUGAUAUUAUGGGGAACACCAAAAGCGAAGGCAGCAGACUGGAGCAUUCUUGACACUGAAACACGAAAGCGUGGGUAGCGAAUGGG